rnacentral:misc_RNA from 1 species
CCUAAAGCCCUUCUACCUCCAUUUUCCCUAAUUUCUUCUAAACUAGUCAACAAGAAGAGAAAGGAAAAGAUCUUAAUUAAACACAGAGCGGCAUAGCUUUGUGCUCUUAGCUAUGAAAGUUCCCGUUUCUCCCAACCCCAAGCCCGUUUCUUGCAACAAUAAUACUAACGCGCUUCCAUAUCAAAAAUUCUACCCUGAACCCACCUCAGUGCUUGACCUGCGCCGAAGUCCAAGUCCUGUGUCUGGGAAACCAGUCUCUGCAACUGAUCCUUCUCUUGAGUGGGAUGAGCAUGUUCUGCAGAAUUUUGACUGGGACUCUAUCAUGAAAGAACUGGACUUUCAUGAGGAUUCUGCCCCUACCCUCAAGAGCUUCCCUCAAGUUAAUUCUUACGAGUCCAUAAUCCAUAACCAAAAUCUCCAGGAGUUUACUGCGCCUGCACAAACGGAUCCUACUCAGUUUCUUCAUUCUGAUUUUAAUGGUACAUGCUUCAAUAUCCCCACUCAAAGUUUAGGUUCUCUUGAUUCGUCUCAUAACAUUGGCAAUUGGAACGUUGGUUUUGAUCUUAUUCAAGAACUUAUUCGAGCAGCAGAUUGUGUCGACUCCAACGAGAUACAACUCGCCCACGUGAUAUUGGACCGGCUCAAUCACCGCCUGCAAUCACCGAUAGGCAAACCGCUCCAACGAGCUGCCUUCUUUUUCAAAGAAGCUCUUCAAUCUCUUCUCACUGGAUCACCUCGCCCACCAACUCGACUUGCUUCGUGGUCCGAAGUGGUCCAAACUAUAAGGGUUUAUAAGGCCUUCUCAGGUAUCUCUCCUAUCCCCAUGUUCAUUCAUUUCACUGCAAAUCAAGCCCUCCUCGAAAACCUCGACGGUUCUCCUCCUUUCCUUCAUGUGAUAGAUUUCGAUAUUGGCCUUGGUUGCCAGUAUGCUUCCUUCAUGAGAGAGCUCGUUGAGAAAGCAGACUCUUGCAAGCUUUCCUCUGCUGUUCUUCGAAUCACAGCUGUGGUAACGGAGGACUAUGCAAUUGAAACCCAGUUGAUUAAACAGUGUCUCUCCCAGUAUGCUCUUGAACUCAAGAUCAGAUUCCAGAUUGAGUUCGUCCUUCUCCGUACUUUUGAAAUGUUAUCUUUUAAAUCAAUCAAGUUCAUGGAAAGAGAGAAAACAGCCAUUCUAUUAUCUCCAACAUUUUUUCGCCGUCUGGGUUCAAGCAGUAGCAUCACCGCAUUUGUAACCGAUCUCCGACGAGUAUCCCCUGGAGUCGUCGUUGUUGUAGAUAGUGAAGGGUGGGCCGAAUCUGGAUCAGCGUCUUUUAGGAGGAAUUUUGUCAACGGCCUUGAGUUUUUCUCCAUGAUAUUUGAGUCGCUUGAUGCGGCAGCUGCUGGCGGAGACUUGGCGAGAAAAAUUGAGAUGUUUUUAUUAAAACCGAGAAUCUUUUCCUCCGUUGAGAGUUGCGGGAGGAGGGUGGCAACGCCUUGGAAAGAGGUGUUUUGUGGGGCGGGAAUGAGGCCGAUGGCGUUUAGUCAAUUUGCAGAUUUUCAAGCCGAGUGUUUGCUGGGGAAGGUCCAAGUCAGAGGGUUCGACGUGGCAAAACGACAAGCUGAGUUGGUGCUCUGUUGGCACGAACGGCCACUCAUAGCCACGUCAGCAUGGAAGUGUUAGAAAUUAAUUAAGGGGUUUAUCAUAAUUAUAAUAUUUUAUUAUUAAUAGGUUUAGGUGUGUGUUUGGGAUGUAAAUAAUUAAUGUAGCAUUCCAAAUGCAAUUUGAUUUUUGGAUUUGGUAGUUGUUUUCAGUUGGGGUGUGGAUGGUAGAAAGUGGGCUGUGCUGGGUGCCUUUAGCCAACUACCUUGGGCCUUGGCCUCUCUUUGUAUAAUUUACUUUUAACUUUUGCCUCUUUAUUUCAUAAUGUGUGUUUGACA